rnacentral:rRNA from 1 species
UACGGAGGAUGCAAGCGUUAUCCGGAAUGAUUGGGCGUAAAGCGUCCGCAUGUGGCAAUGUAAGUCUGCUGUUAAAGAGUCUAGCUCAGCUAGAUAAAAGCAGUGGAAACUACAUAGCUAGAGUACGUUCGGGGCAGAGGGAAUUCCUGGUGUAGCGGUGAAAUGCGUAGAGAUCAGGAAGAACACCAGUGGCGAAGGCGCUCUGCUAGGCCGUAACUGACACUGAGGGACGAAAGCUAGGGGAGCGAAUGGG